GUCCUAGCCGUAAACGAUGGGCACUAGGUGUGGGGGACGAUCCCUCCGUGCCGCAGCUAACUCAUUAAGUGCCCCGCCUGGGGAGUACGGCCGCAAGGCUAAAACUCAAAGGAAUUGACGGGGCCCGCACAAGCAGCGGAGCAUGUGGCUUAAUUCGAAGCAACGCGAAGAACCUUACCAGGGCUUGACAUAUGGGUGAAGCGGCGGAAACGCCGUGGCCUAGCGGAGCCCAUACAGGUGGUGCAUGGCUGUCGU
rnacentral:rRNA from 1 species